rnacentral:rRNA from 1 species
AUCGAACGCUGGCGGCAGGCCUAACACAUGCAAGUCGAGCGGAACGAGGGACGGGAGAGUAAUUCCUGGGAAUCUGCCUGGUAGAGGGGGAUAACAUCCGGAACCGGACGGUAAUACCACAUACUAUCAGAUGAGACUAGGUCGGAUUAGCUAGGUGGUGGGGUAGAGGAAUACCAAGGCGACGGUCCGUAACUGGUCUGAGCGGAUGAUCAGUCACACUGGAACGGAGACACGGUCCAGACUACUACGGGAGGCAGCAGUGGGGAAUAUUGGACAAUGAGCGAAAGCCUGAUGCAGCCAUGCCGCGUGGGUGAAGAAGGCCUUCGGAUUGUAAAGCACUUUAAGUUGGGAGGCGUUACCAACAGAAUAAGCACCGGCUAACUUCGUGCCAGCAGCCGCGGUAAUAC